AUUGAACGCUGGCGGCAGGCCUAACACAUGCAAGUCGAACGAGUGGCGGACGGGUGAGUAAUGUCUGGGAAACUGCCUGAUGGAGGGGGAUAACUACUGGAAACGGUAGCUAAUACCGCAUACAAUCAGAUGUGCCCAUAUGGGAUGAGCGUGUUGGUGGGGUAACGGCUCACCAAUGCUACGAUCCCUAGCUGGUCUGAGAGGAUGACCCGCAACACGGGAACUGAGACACGGUCCAGACUCCUACGGGAGGCAGCAGUGGGAAAUAUUGCACAAUGGGCGGAAGCCUGAUGCAGCCAAGCCGCGUGUAUGAAGAAGGCCUUCGGGUUGUAAAGUAUUUUCAGCGGGGAGGCGUUACCCGCAGAAUAAGCACCGGCUAACUCCGUGCCAGCAGCCGCGGUAAUAC
rnacentral:rRNA from 1 species